rnacentral:rRNA from 1 species
CCCCUAGAUGUUCUGGGCCGCACGCGCGCUACACUGACCAGUGCAACAAGCAUCCGUCCUUGGCCGACAGGCCCGGGCAAUCUUUGAACGCUGGUCGUGAUGGGGAUAGACUUUUGCAAUUUUUGGUCUUCAACGAGGAAUUCCUAGUAAACGCAAGUCAUCAACUUGCAUUGAUUACGUCCCUGCCCUUUGUACACACCGCCCGUCGCUUGUACCGAUUGGAUGGUCCGGUGAAAUCUUCGGAUAGCUGGUAGUUGGCUUGCCAUCUACUGCUAAAAGUUGCUUAAACCUUAUCAUCUAGAGGAACAAGAAGUCGUANCA